GGAUGGUGAAGGACGGGAGUCUCUGGGCCGGGUCCAGCAUCCCGAAAAAACUUUUCAGGAAUUACCAGGCUUGGGAUGCACACUCGGAUCCUCCUGCGUGGCACUCUGACAGCAUGAUCAUUCGGCCAUCUGGCUCCAAUAUUACGGGAUUAUAUCAUCUUGAGUUACAUAUAAUGGAUCAUGAAUACUAAUUGCAUGACAUCAUAUUGUAUAGUACCUUCAAGAACAUUGUUUAAUGGUUUCAUCAGAUAUAAGUUAAUUUUUUAUGUAAUGGCUCCCCGAGCAAUAUAUGUAGCACCUUAUUAUCAUUAUGAAAAAUUAUCUUUUCGUCCUGUGCAAUUUUACCUUGGUUUCCACCAGAGAGGUACUAAGCGGCUGGGUUACUCUAGUUCCCCCCCACGGGCCGCUCAUAUAUGUGGUGAGUUAGUUGUCAGAUGGAGGCUCGGGUUCAACAAACCGGGCUCGGAUCCCUCCUGAAAAAUUCCGGAGGUAUGGGAUCCGGGAAUUGAAUCCGGAUCCUCCAUGGUAAAGGCACAACACGCUUCUACCACGGCUAUCCGGCCGACGAAAAAUUAACUUGUGAAAUAUAUAAUGUCUCAUAAGCACUAAUUGUAUGGCGUCAUGAUGUGAUAAAUAGUGAGCAAUAUUCUAGAAUCACACGAACUGCAGAAUAGUUUCUUAUGCAACACGAAUUGGCCCCAUAAUUAAUACGGUAGUGCUUUAUCAAUAUCAUGUAACACUACCUGGAGAGACAUAUGAAAGCUUAUGAACGAUAACUAUAUGGCAUCGUAAUGUUUAUUAGCCUCACGAAAUUUUAUGAGCAUUUACUCAUGAGUUAUAAAGUACCUUUACAUAUUACAUAAAUUGCUCAAUAAGUAAUAUGUAUAAUGCUUUAUCAAUAUUUGAAAUAUUUCAUUAAAAAUUAUGUAAUAGCUCAUGAACACUAACUACAUGCCGUCAUGACAUUUAGUCUCCUCAUUUAGGUGAUUUCUUAAGUAAUAACUCUAUGAAUAAUGUGUAGUGCUCUGCAUUUGUUAUAUAAUAAUAAUAAUAUGAGAUAUAUAGUUGCUCAUGAAUGUUAUAUAUGGCGCCAUGAUGUUUACUAACGUCAUGAGCAUUAAGCAGAGUGGUUUUUUAUGAAAACGAAAUGGCUUUAUGAAUAAUGUGUAGUACAUUCUCCAGCAUUACAUAUGACUUCAGGAAAUCCAUAAUAUCUACUCUAAAAUUGCUUUGAUAAAAUCUCAGGUAAUUUUCCAUGGAACUUACAAAAAAAUAAAAAAAAACACAAAAAUUAAACGUCAGUUAAAUGUGCAUAAGAGAUAAAGGUUUCAAAGUCAGGCAAGAGAAAAAAAAGAGAAGAGAAAAAAAAAACAAGGAAAAUUGUAUUUGGUAACAAAUCACCCUACAUUAAAGUAGUUAUGAAAAACGAGCGUCAUGGUAGGAGAACCAUGAAUAAAAGCAGUUAAUUCACUCUAAGAAGUGCAUUUGUUAUGAAAAACAAAGAAUAAAAACAAGUCGGGUAGGAAAAAUAAUAAUAAAAAAAGAAGAAGAAGAAAGAAUAAUACAACCAGCUGCUGAAUUCGCUAACAUUUAUCAAAUAAAUUUUAAAUCAUUAGAAAGAGCAAAGAUAAGUUACAGGAACCAAGAAAAUUGCAAUUUAUCUAAGUUCUCUUCAGGUCUGUUUGUGGAUUGCAGUUUUUCUCUGAAAAGUCAUUACGUUAGCCAAGAACUGAAAUCACUGAAGUCGCUUCUAAUUUAAACACCUUUUCUUUCUUUACAGAAAAUAUGCGAAUAUAUAAAAAAAAAAAAAAAAUUGAUGUGAUUAUAAAUUUAUCUUUCUGUAUACCUUAAAGGUGUUUGUAUUUAUUAUGGAA
rnacentral:lncRNA from 1 species